rnacentral:rRNA from 1 species
CCUACGGGUGGCAGCAGUGGGGAAUAUUGGGCAAUGGAGGAAACUCUGACCCAGCAACGCCGCGUGAAUGAUGAAGGUCUUCGGAUUGUAACGUUCUUUUCUAAGGGAAGCAGUAAGUUACGGUACCUUAGUAAUAAGCCUCGGCUAACUACGUGCCAGCAGCCGCGGUAAUACGUAGGAGGCGAGCGUUAUCCGGAAUGACUGGGCGUAAAGGGUGCGUAGGUGGUUUGGCAAGUUAGUAGCGUAACUCCCAGCCUCAAACUUGGUACUACUACUAAAACUGUUGGACUUGAGUGCAGGAGAGGCAUGCGGAAGUCGUAGUGUAGCGGUGAAAUGCGUAGAUAUUAGGAGGAACACCAAUGGCGAAGGCGGAUUGCUAGCCCGUAACUGACACUGAGGCACGAAAGCGUGGGGAGCAAACAGGAUUAGAUACCCGAGUAGUC